AUUGAACGCUGGCGGCAGGCCUAACACAUGCAAGUCGAACGGUAACAGGAAGCAGCUUGCUGCUUCGCUGACGAGUGGCGGACGGGUGAGUAAUGUCUGGGAAACUUCCUGAUGGAGGGGGAUAACUACUGGAAACGGUAGCUAAUACCGCAUAACGUCGCAAGACCAAAGAGGGGGACCUUAGGGCCUCUUGCCAUCGGAUGUGCCCAGAUGGGAUUAGCUAGUAGGUGGGGUAACGGCUCACCUAGGCGACGAUCCCUAGCUGGUCUGAGAGGAUGACCAGCCACACUGGAACUGAGACACGGUCCAGACUCCUACGGGAGGCAGCAGUGGGGAAUAUUGCACAAUGGGCGCAAGCCUGAUGCAGCCAUGCCGCGUGUAUGAAGAAGGACUUCGGGUUGUAAAGUACUUUCAGCGGGGAGGAAGGGAGUAAAGUUAAUAACUUUGCUCAUUGACGUUACCCGCAGAAGAAGCACCGGCUAACUCCGUG
rnacentral:rRNA from 1 species